AGGUUUCAGAAAACAUGACAAAUAGGAGGAUGCAAGAAGUUUGUGUAAGUAUCUCCAGUUGACAUUAACCUUGAGCCUCAGUCACCUUACCGGAAAAUGAGGAUGAUUACAAAGUACUGACGUCAUAGGGUGGACUGGAGGAUGAGAUGAAUUAAUGAAAGCACCUGGAUGAGGGUCUGGUAGGCAAUGAGUGGUGCCCUCUUUGUAGCAGUAGGAAUUGCUCAUUACCCUC
rnacentral:lncRNA from 1 species